rnacentral:rRNA from 1 species
AUACGUAGGUGGCAAGCGUUGUCCGGAAUUAUUGGGCGUAAAGCGCGCGCAGGCGGUCCUUUAAGUCUGAUGUGAAAGCCCACGGCUCAACCGUGGAGGGUCAUUGGAAACUGGAGGACUUGAGUGCAGAAGAGGAAAGUGGAAUUCCAAGUGUAGCGGUGAAAUGCGUAGAGAUUUGGAGGAAUACCAGUGGCGAAGGUGCCUUUCUGGUCUGUAACUGACGCGGAGGCGCGAAAGUGUGGGGAGCAAACAGGAUUAGAUACCCUGGUAGUCCACGCCGUAAACGAUGAGUGCUAAGUGUUAGGGGGUUUCCGCCCCUUAGUGCUGCAGCUAACGCAUUAAGCACUCCGCCUGGGGAGUACGGUCGCAAGACUGAAACUCAAAUGAAUUGACGGGG